CCAGCACUGGUGAGGCUGUACCUUGAGUGCUGUGUCCAGUUCUCUGCCCCUCAAUUCAGGAAGGAUGUUGAGAUGCUGGAUCAUGUCCAGAGAGGGGCAACAAGGCUGGUGAAGGGUCUACAGAGUAAGUCCUGUGAUGGGGCAUCUGAGGGAGCUGGGGUUGUUUAGCCUGGAGAAAAUGAGGCUCAAGGGAGAUUUUAUCCCUCUCUACAGCUCCCUGACAGGAGGCUGUAGCCAGGUGGGGAUCAGUCUCUUCUCCCAGGCAACCAGUGACAGGAUGCGGAAGUGGACUUGACGCCCUUGCAUCACGGGAGGUUUAGGUUGGACAUCAAGAAGAAUUUCUUCACAAAAAGGGUGGUUAGGUAUUGGACUGACCUGCCCAUGGAUGUAGUGGAGUCUCCAUCUCUGGAGGUGUUCAAGGAGCAACUAGAUUUGUCACUUAGUGCUGUGGUUUAGUUGACAAGGUAGUGUUCAGUCAAGGUUGGACUUGAUGAUCUUGGAGGUCUUUUCCAACCUUAAUGUUUCUGUGAUUCUAUCAUUCUACACUGUGAUACAUCAGUCAAACAGAACUGGCUGUUUUUCAAGAGGCUGAUGCAGAAGGAGGCAGAUGGUAAGGCUGGCUAUGCAGCCUCCUAACUUUUCAGAUCAGAUAGUGCACCAAAAACCUCUCACUACAUACAACAGAAACUGCACAUUUCUGAAGGAUUUCAUUCCACAUGGUAAGAAGUCUCAGGGUAUGUGUUACAAAAUUUAUAAUUUUUGAGCCCAAAUGAGGAAGCUUAGACCCCUGAAUCCAGAUAUAAGCCUUAGCAUCCUCCUUGACUGAUCUAAACAUAAUACAAAUCUUGAACACCUUGGUAUUUCAAUAACUGUAAUGCAGAAAUUAUUUGUAUAAGCUUUAUAUGACCUAACUCAUGUUCAAUGGUGGUCUAGUUACAACUGUAGAACGCUUAGGGUAGGCUGCAAACUUACCCAGGAAACAUGGUAAAUCAGUUUACACUCAAUAGGCUGCUGACCCAGUUGCACUGUUAUUAAUAACCCAGUGGAUUCAGGUUUAGCAUUAGCCUGGGUGUUUGUGUAUCACACAGCAGUCACAGAUGUGCUUUCAGAUGUGCAACAUUCAGUGCCUCUUUAUUUAGAGUUUGUGCUCCUCUGAGCAGAAAAUGCUAGGCAUUUUUAUUUUCUUAUAUAUUUCAUAUUUAGAAAUUAAAAGUAUGCUGAAACCCAGUAUAUUUGUCUACUGAUCUGACUGCUUCCUCUUAACAGAGUUUGUUUUCCAUAAGCAAGAUGCCACUCAUACUUGCAGUUUCUGCUCAAUGUCUCUGAAGUGAUGCAUGUCAGACUGAGCCCAGCAGGAGAGUACAAACUUUUAUGCACUGGCUUUAAUGUUGAUAAAGCACUGAGCAGAUGUUUGGCAUUUUGUUAUAUGCAAACAAGAAUUAAGUCAGGACUCCCUAAAUCAUACUAGACACAGACAUGACAGGGGGCCCUGCAUCUGCUUACCAGUUAGUGCCACUCAGCAUGGCCUGGCUGGGGUCCAGCUGCAGCUACAGAAAGGUUCAGGUGUUUGAAGGUGGUUCAGGUGCUUGAGGGCUCAGCCAAUGUUCCUGUCACUAGCACUGGAGGAGACUGAGGCAGCUGAGCUCAGCCCAGAGUUUACCCAGAAGCAACUCAAAAUAUAUAUUCCCUAGAUGUAUAUACAAGAGGCAAAAAUCUUUUUUAUUGAAGGCUUCGUUUUCUCAACAGUUUAAAUACACAUUAACAGUUGUAUAAAACCCUAUUCAGUUCAUUUGUCUCCUUCUUGAUGCGUAUUCAGGGAAAGACUUUUUUUCUGGCAAGUUAAUGCUAAACAAAAUAUGGCCUGGAUUUUUCAGUGUAGGGAAGCCAUGCAUACAGGAAAUCUAGCUGAGCAGCCAAAGAUCACUCAGACAAGAGUUCAAGAUGUCCAAGAUUUCAAGGCUGUGUAAAGGGGUUUUGUGAUCAUACCAAAAUAAUUUGCAACACGGGCCUUUGCCAAAGUGACAUUAUUUAACCCAGAAACUUGGAGAUAAACUAUGAAUUAGUCACUAUUAAACUCUAGAAACUCUAGAACUCUCUUCAGCUCUAGAAUAUCUCUUGGAGAUAAGAAGGGAGGAGAGUAUAAGUAACGCUACAAGGGGUGAGAGUGCUGCCAUUCUGAUGCACCUUUGGAGUACCAGUGGUUUAAUGUUGGCAUAUACGUAAUGCUAAUGACUGUGUGUAAUGUAGAUUUAGGACAAAAGACACAAAAAGCUAGAGAUCUUUUCCAUUUAAUUAACUACUGAGUCUGAGUUCUUCUCAAGCAAUGUAUCAGUGCUCUUGGAAGUGUUGUCCUGACACUCAUCUAAUAUUGUUUUACACAGGAUUAAACUGGGAUAAUUUAUUUUAAAAACAAACAAAACUAAACAAUGAAGCAAAAAACAUCCAAGCCCCAAGAUGCAUCAGGAGAAAUGCUCUCUGAUGCUUUGGCUUGUCUCUGUUUCCCGUAGUUGGCAGACCAGGUUUAACAAAAGGCCUGCUUCCCACUUGGAAGCAUCCAUCACAGCAUCAGGUAUGCUUUCCAUUGGGCUAUAGGAGGGGAUCUAGAAAUCUGUUGGCAAUCAGCAGAUGGAGACAUGCACUGAUAGCAGACUCUCAGUUCCUCAGGUGUUAGCUCAAGGCUGUGCUGCAUCUCUGGAUAAGGCACCAGAAGCAUUUUGUAGGAGCAAACUUUAUUUCCCUCUCUCAAAAAAGUGUCAUAGAGCUCACCUGUGCAAUCUUCUCAUGUGCUGAAGGAGGAAUCCAGAGAGAUACCCAGUUGAAUAUGUGCUUGGGGAGCUGUGAUUCAUUUCUAGCUGGGUCUCAAACAGUGCAAUGCUGUAGUCUUUUCUACUUAUAUUUUUAGAAACAUCUUUUUUGUAAGGAAAGCAUAAGUGGUCUCACUAAGAGAAAUUCAAUUACUGAUAAGAUAGGCAUGAAUACCAACACUAGCACUCCCACUGAAGUGUUUUGUCCAUUAAUUACAAUUGUAAGAUAAAGUAAGAGCCACUUAUCUGGUUUUGACAAAAUUGCCUCUUAAACUGCAUUGGACCAUCCUGUGGCACUGAGUUACUCCAAUUAACUAUACUACAGGACUUAUCCUCUUGUUCUUCUCUGGUGUAAUUUUAUACCUCAUUACUUCUUAUGAGAAACAGUUAAUAAUGAACCAAUUCAACUUCCUCCCUCAACUAUAUAAGUUACUGCUAUUGGCCCCACACAUGCCUCUUUUUUCAGGAUUACAAACCCAUGCUCAGUUAGUUCCCAUGUAGAAAUACAAGUCUGCUAAAGUUCUUAAAUGAGUUCAGUAAAUCCAUAACUCAUUAGAGUAUUCUGUUUGUUUCAUGUAGAAAAAGGAAAAACUCUAUGAGGAAGCUUCUAAAAUUCCUUUUUAUUCAGUGGGAAACACAAAACCUUAGAAAUAUAUAAACAUUCAUUUUUGUUAUCUAACCAUUUAAUAGAAAAGAUAUCACCAUCUCUUUGAGCAAGAAAUAAGCACCAGCAGCUUCUCUUAAUUCUCUUCAUGAGUACACUGAUUUUUUUUUUUUUUUUUUUUUCUGCUGCUCCUUCUCCCUGGUGAUGUGAAGACUGACUUUCUUUCCUAAGUUACACAGUUGCACCAAAACUGACAGAGAGAUCUCUCCACUGACUAGGUGACAGUCCAAAAGGGAGCAAGGGCUAUGUGAAUCCUUUCAGAUGGAGUAGUAGCUGUUUCCCACAGCCUGGAAGUGUGCUGAAUUCUCAAUUUUUAUUUCCAUUUUGGUGAACCUCCUUCCUCUAGCUGUGUGUUGAGGGGGAUGCCCAUCACUUCCUGACUCUCUUUUUGAAAACAUAGAAUGGGCAUCUAAGACUAAGGGCUUGGGAUCCGCUGCUCAUGUCUGCUCAUCCCUGUGACUUAAGGUCCUCAAUAGAGGUGAGACUAGAUGGCUCUAGUCUCAAUGUUUGUUUUCUUGUUGAUUAUCUUGUGCAGCUGUUGGGAAGCUCAGCUGGAGAUGUUUACUUUGUAUACCUUGUAUAAGCAGAUAAUGUGCCUUGUUCAACAUAUGGAGGCAAGCAUAGGAAACAGGCAUCUAAAUCUUACGACCAUCAAAAAAUCCCAGUUCUUUUGUGGAUCAAAUCCUUAAGAAUUGAAAUACUUUAAAAAUCUGGUUCUCAGAAUCCAGUUUUAAGAACAGCAAAAACUAUUCCUUUUACCAGUUGAAUGAUUUAUUGAAUCAUGUCCCUAAAUUAUUGAUUUAGGAAAUUGCAAAAGAUGAUUCCUGAAGGACCUCAUAGUAUUAAAAAAAGAAAAAAAAAAAAAAACAAAACAAAACCGGAAUUGAUUAGUAUGUAUGUAUGUAGAUGUUCAAUUUCUUAUUUGGUGUCUCCUUGGACCUAACCAUUUAUUCCAUGUUCUUCUCAAGGAAUAUGUAUUAGGAAAAGAUUUUCAGAGCUCUUUUUAGUAAUUAGGUUCCUAAAUCAAGCAGGAAUUAUCUGUGGUUUGUAAAGACAGAUAGGCAAAAUCCUUUCUAUCUAAUUUAGAAUUCUAACCAAAACAUUGUCCUGACAAAAUUUCAAACACAGAACUCUGCAGGGCAAUCUCACUCUGCCUAUUGUAGCUAUCCAGGUCAUUUUUGCAACCUACAGAAAAAGGGAAGCACCUCUGAACCCCAGCUAGACUCAGCCAGUUCUCUAAGUACAGAUUGAUUGCACAAAGAAUUUAAAAGCCUCAUGAGGGCAAUAAAAUUCUUCUAAAUUAAGCACCAGAUUUAGUAGGAUUUAGACAUCAACUUGUGAGCUAAAGUCUAAACUCCCAUUAUAAUCACUGAAGAACAGGUCAAUACAGUCAAUGGAGUCUAAAAGCCAAUCCAGCUUUCCCUUUACUAAAAGAAGGAUGCAGUUAAUGUGAGAUGGCCCAUAUUUUGUGAAACAUUUACAUGGGGACUGCACACUGACACGAAAACUUCACCCCACAUCUAAAAUGAUACUAGUUUUAACAUGGGAAUCCCACUACAGGGGAAGAUUUUCUCAGAUGCUCCAGGAUAUCCUGCUUCCAGCUAUUAAUUCAGGGAGGUUUGGGAUUAUGGGUACCAUGUCAGAUCUCCCAACUUCCUAUAAAUGUCAGAGCUACCCUCACUAUCACACAGUGCCACUAUUUAAUCAGAAUCUACCUUGCCUGCCCCUCUUCUGAACAUUUGUGUCAGUUCAAAUAGAGGAUUCAAUUUCUCUAUAAUUUUAUUUUUACACCUCUAAAUCCUGUAUGUGGAUUAUCCAGAUUCUCAUCCUCCUGAGAGGGAAAGGACCACAGCCCAGGACAACUUAAACUGCCAAGUAUCAGUAGACUGUAAAAAAGCACAUUCUGGAAGAUUAAACAUGGGUCAAGCAGGCAUGACAGAGUUAUGGAGCCAGGAAAAUUACAGUGUUAUGCUUUGAGCUGAUGCUAGAUAUCAGCCCCAAAUGGUGUGCUAGAAUAUGAAUACUUGCCUGGUGCUGCAAUCUUGAUUUUUCACUCCAUUAGAAUCUCCUAACAAUUGGGCAACAGUCAAGCUACCUUUCUUUGGGCUCUAGCCCCCUGAUGCUCUUAUUUCUGCUUACACAGAGGCCAGACUUGAGAUGACAAGUGUGUUUAACAGGGGUCCUGUGAUGCCUUCCUGAAACUCAGAAGGUGGUGGUUCAAACCUUUCUCAGAUGAGUAGGCUGGAGAAGCUUUCCAGCUUCCUCAUACUGUCUUCUGACCAGUAAAUAAUUAUGCAAAGAAGGAAACACAAUCCCCACCUCAGAGCAGAUAAAGCCCCUAGCAGUUAGUGGGUAGACUCAGGCCAUGACAUCUGAGAAAAAAUUACACACUAUAAUUGACAGAAAAACAUAAGGAUGAUUUCUCAGUGGCUCCCUUAACCAAUUAGUUUAAAACCAACCAGUUCUCAAGGGAGAUUACACAGAAGUAGAAAGGAAAAUCUCUUACACCAUAAAAAUACCUCUAAUUACUAUUGCAUGAGAAAGGAGGGAAUAGUGUUUUGUAUUUCAGUCCAAACCUAAUCUGUGCCACAAAUGGUGACUUUCAGGUUUAUAUGGAAAAUAUAUUUUUAAAAAUUCAUUAUCUCUCAACUAAGAAAAUAAGAGAAUAUUAUAAACUUUUAAAACAUGCUUAAUUCUUGGUCUGAAAUAACUGCACAUAAUUUCAUCAUACGUAAUUUCAAAAAAAAAAAAAAAUUUCCAAAUCAUCUUUCUCAGCACCAUGUUAUAGCAUGAUGGCUAUCUUUUGGGGGCUGUGCUGGUUUUGGCUGGGGUAGUUAACUUUCCUCACAGUGACUGGCAUGAGGCUGUGUUUUAGAUUUGUGCUGAACACAGGGUUGAUUAAUUAUAGAGAUGUUUUUUGUUAUUGCUGAGCAGAGACAGAGCCAAGGCCUUUUCUGCUUUUCAUACUGCCAGGCUGGCGAGAAAGUUGGGGCUGCAUGGGGGGUUGGGAGGGGACACAGCCCAGACAGGUGACCUAAACUGACCUAAGGGAUAUUCCAGACCCUGUGGCAUCAUGCACAGUGUAUACAGUGGGUGGGAGAAGGAGGAAGGUUGGAGCGAGGACGUUUGUUUUCCCAAGUCACUGUUACUUGUGAUGCAGCCCUGCUCUCCUGGAGAUGGCUGAACACCUGCCUGCCCUUGGGAAGCAGUGAAUUCAUUCCUGAUUUUACUUCCCUCAUGUGCAUGGCUUUUGCUUUCCCUCUUAAAUUGUCUUUAUCUCAACCAAUGAUCUCUCCUGGAUCCUACUGGUGGAGGAGUGAGUGUGCAGUGCUUGGCAGCUGGCUGGUGUUAAACUACAACAGGGACAAUUAUCCAGGCAAUUAAAAGGUAUUACAACAUGUAAAUAUAUUCAAAGUGAAAAGAUACUAACUUUGACCUGAAUUUUUUUUUUUAAAGCUCAUCACAAAGACAUGUAUUAAAUUAAAAGAAGAUUUUAAGUAAUUAUUUUUAUUUACUUUCCAAUAGUCACUUAGUAUCCUAUGUUCCUCUAAAACUGUGAUGGCAGUAAAGAAAUUGAUUAAUUUGGGUAAGGGAAAGAAAGAUCAUUCUUUUUGCAGUAAUUAAUAUUUGCAUAGCAGGAGGUCCCCUAUUUUAAUAAAGAGCCCUCUUAGAGGAUGACAGCCUUCCAAGUAUGCAUCAGAACUUCUUAAGAACUUAAUGCAAAAAGUCUCCAAAAGUUAGGAAAAAAACAUGAUUAUUCAUCUUGUUUGGAAUGAGUUCCCAAGACAGGAUCCAGGUUUUGCAUCUAAAUAGGAGGUUGAAACCUCUGUUAGACAACCAUUUCUUCCAUUUUCAGUACACCUAAAAUCCCAAAGCACUGGAGAACUUUGGAAACCUCUGAAGAUCUGAAGACACCACAGAGUUUACAAUAAGUAUGGAAAUCAAUAGCACAUUUUGUAUGGAUUAUUAUCUGUGCUUUUGGCCCAUCCCUCCAAUUUUUCUGCAUGGCAGCCCUGCUUGGACAUACCAACUACUUGCCAUAUGUCUGCCAACCUGGUAAGAAUGCAUUACCUUGCACCUUUGACAAAUUGGACAGGUCUCAAAAGAGACCCCUGCAGUGCUGCAUUUACAAUCUGCCUCUAAACCCACAAACUCUCUGAGUUCAACAAUUUUUUUACCCACCUGGUUUCCCAUCCAUUUACUGCCAUCCUCUGGCAUUUUAACUUGGGUAGAAUUAUAGAAUCAUAGAAUGUCCUGGUCUGGAAGGGACCAUAAGAUCAUCAAGUUCCAACACCCCUUCCUUGGGCAGGGUUGCCUUCCACUAGACCAGAUUGCUCAAAUCUAAUCACUACCAAAACAAUCAGCUCCUACAGCUGUCACAUCUUCAAACCAUUUCACUUCUGCAAGGAUGGAUCUCCUGAGAUAAUAUUUGGAAUUUAACAGACUGCAGCUCACACAUUGCUUGAAGACCCACUGAACAUGUAAAAAUACUGAACAAGUGAGAUUAUUUGAGGAAACCUGUCUAAUUGCAAGUAUGUAUUUCACAUAAUUUAAUAGUUGUUGCCAUACCAGCUGUUCAAUCAGGAAAUGCUUGUCAGCUUUGAGUCCACAUUCAACUUUAUCAUACAGACUAAAGACAACAGGAUGUAUUUAUCUCACUUUAAUCACUAUGUUUUGUCUACUUGUGACCUGUACCGUGACUUAGAUAUCAAUCCUAGUAUUUUAUAGGGUAAAUAUUGGUACAAUUAUAACUUUUAUUAAAUUUCCAGAUUUUCCCCCAAAUAGAUGAUUGGGUUUAAUAUUGUUAACACCACUGACUAAGAAAGAUAUAUUUUUUAUAUUUUUGAAAGUGAAUACUAAUAAAUUUUACAUUCUUCCAAAAUAUCUAUUUCAAAAUAUGCUAACCACGUAUUAAAAGAUAAUGAUAAAAAACUGUAUGAAUAAUAUUUCAGUAUGAUAAUAUAUUAAUUUUCAAAUAUGAGUAAUGAAUAUUUUUUAAUCUUAUUUUUACACAAUAAUCGUGUUUUGUUAUUAGAAGUUAGAUUGCUGUGGGAAAUGCCAAGGCUGGGCAAGGAAAGUUUUUGCUUGGGGUCCCCAGAGCUUAUUCCAGGAUGGAGAAGGUGUGCACUUCAGAUGAUGCUCUGUCCACCACUCCCAUCAAAACCUGUGUAGGUCUAGGCACAGGAACAAGCCAGCUGCUCAGCCAUCCUUUCCCUUGUCUGACAGCAGAGGACAGCACACAGUGUGUUUUUGUAUCCCAGCAGGUUGCCAGGCCCAGGCAGUGAAGAAAGGCCAAGGCAGAAGCUAUGUCACACAGAAGAGAUGGCCCAGCAGCAACAAACCUGUCAGUCACCAGGACGUUGCUUGUUCAUUUUUCCAGAAACAGACUCUUUCUCCCAGCUCCUGAGAAGCUGUACACUGCCACCCUCUCAUACUGAAACUUCACUAGGAAUACAGCCAGAUGUGUGCCCAGGAGGUGCUUGUCAACAUGUCCUUCUCCACCUGUGCUGAAGUUCUUUCAUCACCAGAUCGAAAUUCCUGCCCUUAGUGUGGCCUAAAUCCAUGUCCUUCUGCUGGCCCAUGUAGAAAUGAGGCAAUUAGCAGCACUAAGAUGUGAGAAGAGAAAAAAUCCCAGUACCAACAUAUCCUACCAUUGUGCAUCCCAUUCUUCUGACCCUGAGGGGAGGUGACUGGAUACCCUUGCUGCACUCCAGCAUGAAGAUCCUGUUAGUGCUAGUCUUACUACAAAGCACGAGAGAAGUGAAGUCUCUAAUCUCCACUCAUCUCUCAGGCCUAAAACUGCUGAAGGGUUCACAUUACCCUCUGCCUGGCAACAUUUGGGAUGUGCAGCACACAUCUGGGAUGUGCAGCAGCAAAUUGAUGGUUGUACCUCUGCCACUGACCUUCCUGCCAAAUCUUCUUGACAGCAGUACUGAUUGUCUAGAUGUAAGAAGGAUGGGAAAACAAAGUGAACUGUCUUUGCCAUUUAGUGAAAAAAAGGAGUCAAAUAUCCCAUCCUUCUUUUUAAAGAAUUAAGAAUGAUGGAAUCACUAAGAGCUUUGUUGUGGACUCUUACUUGCUGGCCUGCUGCCUGAAGAAAAGUAUUGAAAAGAUUAAGGGAUCUACAAGAGAAAAAGGAGAGUCUAAAAUAGAUUGAGGACUUAAGUAAGUCUGUUUAAAUGGCUUUUUUAUCUCAAGAGCCUCUCUAAAAAAUCUUUAGCAACUCAGGCCAUCAAAGAAAUUUCACAAUGAUCAGAAAUUAAAUUACUACAAUUCACUGAUUUCCUAGUUCAAGAAGUGACUACUGCAAAGUGUACUAGCAUUUCAAAGGGAUGCCUCAUCUCAGCAGCUGUUUUUUGUGUCCCAGAUGUCUAUUUGCCCUCUCUGUGAACUGACACACUGUGGUGUGCUAGUUAGUUCCACUUCUACUUCAAAGCUCAUAAAAUCACCCCACAGUUCUCUCCAGGAUGUGAAUGUUUAUGAAACACCAGUCAGCAACCCUGACUGCAACCAGCAGCACCUAUUUUUGAAGCCAGCAGGCUUCACAUCCACAGCAUCAGAGUCAAAUAUGAAAACUGAAUUAACCUGCAUAAGAAGAAGAAGGCAGCGAGUUCUCCUUGCCAGGGAAUGCUUCAGCUUUAUUUCAGCCAUUUUGUCAUCUGUGUCACCAUAGAUGGGCACAAACAAGAAAAAUAUGUGCCUUAUUGCUUAAGGCAUUCUGGACAGGCAGGAAGGCUGGUGAAGAAUUUGUUUUGGUGACAGCUGGAGGGGCCUAGAGGGCUGUCAGCUCUAAUACAGUCAGAUUGAGAAUUAAUUCCCACAUGCAAGAUGCAGAUACAAGCAUCAAAAUUUGGAACCCAUUUAAUCAGGGGAGCAGCAGUGUCUGCUCUGGUCAGCAGGGGAUGUGUCAUUUGCUCUGAAAUACACAGGUUCAGGGUUUUCACUUCAGCAAAGUAUUCUUGUAGAUGCAUAACCUGACUGUUUCAAGUUCCUGAGUAUUGGAAAAUCCUUCUCUUUUACAGAAGAACCGUAACAUUUUUUUCUCAAAAAACCCAGAAAGAUUGCAAAUCAAAUUACUUGAACUGCAGGUAGAUCAUCUUACCUGAAGAGAUAAGCAAAUUAGGACAUAUUUUGUUCUUCCUAAUACCAGAUAGAUCUGGAAUAAAUCCAUAGAUUUCAUCAGAGCUAUCUCUUAUUUGUACAAGUGUAAACAAAGCAAGAAAAGUCUAGUUAGCUCUUUUCCCAUGUAGUGUAUACAGAGAUUUGCACAUUUGAUGUGUAUGUAAUUUGUUCAAUCUCUCUUUAUGUGUAAUGCUCUCACAUAAAUCAGGAAAAUACAUCUAUGCAUUUGUUUUCUUUUUCCUGUUUUAAAGGAAGACUCUGGCAAGUUGAGCUCCAGUUAUCAUUACUGACAUCCCAAAUACCAUAUGAAACUUUCCAGAUGCUUUGAGAAUUUCAGUUUGGUUUGGAACAAACAACUUAUAAAAGCUUCCCUUUCAGGCAAUAUAAAAAAAUAAUUAUAUUACCUGCACUUAGGGUUCUAAAAAUUUAAACAACUACUUGUUAUAUUUUCAUAAUUGCAGUGUUUCCUAGAUACAUUGUGUCACAGAUACACAUCUGUGUAGUCUUUUAUUGUAUGCAUUCAGUCUGUCUUUAAAAUCCAGAAGUGGAAAAAUAGCACCUCCUGCCUAGCAAAGCUAUUAUUUUAAGUGUCAAGCAUUAGGCUUUUCAAGACAGGUGAACCUAUAGUAAGCAAGAACAAUUUUAUGUGGAAAGUCUGAUCCUGAAUACAGUCACUCAGAUCUCAACUGGUUAGAUUUUCAAGAUCAGAGAAAAGGCAGACAAAACCCAGCUUUUCACCUGAACUCUACAUUUGAGACAUCUUUCCUUGAAUCAAACUUGCUCUAUGCCAAAUUUGGAUGAUUUUAGCUCAAACUGAGGUUCUCCUUGAGAGGCCAGAUGAGUGCAUGUGUAAUCUGAAAAGUUGUAAGGGAGUAUAUAAGGGGCUCCUCUUGUUCUGCAGAAGAAUCACAGAGCAGAAGUUAACCCUACAAGCCUCCUACAAGCCUAUCAGUGUACUGGAGUAGACUGAUACUGCAGGUCUGAGAUGUUCUGAGGAGGGGAUAGUUUCACUUCCUUCAUACUAAUUUUGGCAGAUUCUUUAAUUUCCUAGGGUAAGUCUGACCAACUUGAAACUAUGCCAUCCUAACAGAUUGGUACAAGCAUGAGGACAAGAGACAAUGUACAAUAGACGUAUGAAAUGUGCCAAGAUAUGAAAUUGUUUUCUGCCUAAAGCUUCCAUACUUCUUACAGAUAGGGCAAAUGCUCAGGAAUUGCAGUAAAAUUUGAAAAAUUUAAAAUAAAAAAAAUUAAAAAUAGAAUGUAACAAAAUUAACUUCCACAGCUGCUGGAGGCUUUCCUUGACCUUUACAUGUAUUUGUGAGCAUACUUCUUUGCAGAAAUACAUUAGGGAAGAUACUAAAAUGUGCUUUCCUACCUCUUCCAUGUCUGACAACAAUUUCAUUAUUGUCUUCAUUAUUCCAUACUCUCACGAAUAAGGAAGAGAUGCUGAUUUUCAAUGGCUAAGAAAUGCAUCACUUUUCAUCUAUAAAAUUAAAAUUCAACUUUGUCCUUACUGAGUUGGUCUUUUGAAAGAAAUUCAUUAGUGCAUGACCAAUGGAAUUAAAAAAAGAAAUGCAUCUGUGCAGGAACAAUUUUGCUCCACAAAUAACUCCAGAAAGUCAGAUUCCUGUACACUGACAUCAGGGCUCUUCAUUUGGCUCUUCACCAAAUCAAGUUAUAAAAAAGAGCAUGAAGCAUCCCACAAACAGCUACUUCCAGACUGCUGCAAGCAAAACUGUGAACACCAGGCAAGACACAAUCCUCACUGCUGCCAUGCAAGACACUACUUCUGAAAUUCUCCUGCAUUUUUCUUUGCCAUGCUAGUAAAUCAUCAGGGUGUUUUUAGCAGUAAACACAUCUACUCUGCCUUUAAAAAUUACAGUUUUGCACUCUUGCAAUAAAUUUCACUUAAAUAUAUGCAAAAUAAAAUAUUUACUUUCAACAUCAUUCUCAAAA